rnacentral:rRNA from 1 species
UACGUAGGGGGCAAGCGUUGGCCGGAUUUAUUGGGCGUAAAGAGCGUGUAGGCGGCCACACAGGUCAGCUGUGAAAACUCGAGGCUCAACCUCGAGACGUCGGUUGAAACCGUAUGGCUAGAGUCCGGAAGAGGAGAGUGGAAUUCCCGGUGUAGCGGUGAAAUGCGCAGAUAUCGGGAAGAACACCCGUGGCGAAGGCGGCUCUCUGGGACGGUACUGACGCUGAGACGCGAAAGCGUGGGGAGCGAACAGG